rnacentral:rRNA from 1 species
AUGAACGCUGGCGGCGUGCCUAAUACAUGCAAGUCGAGCGAACGGACGAGAAGCUUGCUUCUCUGAUGUUAGCGGCGGACGGGUGAGUAACACGUGGAUAACCUACCUAUAAGACUGGGAUAACUUCGGGAAACCGGAGCUAAUACCGGAUAAUAUUUUGAACCGCAUGGUUCAAAAGUGAAAGACGGUCUUGCUGUCACUUAUAGAUGGAUCCGCGCUGCAUUAGCUAGUUGGUAAGGUAACGGCUUACCAAGGCAACGAUGCAUAGCCGACCUGAGAGGGUGAUCGGCCACACUGGAACUGAGAAACGGUCCAGACUCCUAAGGGAGGCAGCAGUAGGGAAUCUUCCGCAAUGGGCGAAAGCCUGACGGAGCAACGACGCGUGAGUGAUGAAGGUCUUCGGAUCGUAAAACUCUGUUAUUAGGGAAGAACAUAUGUGUAAGUAACUGUGCACAUCUUGACGGUACCUAAUCAGAAAGCCACGGCUAACUACGUG